UCUCCGUUGGUGAACCAGCGGAGGGAUCAUUACAGAGUUGCAAAACUCCCAAACCAUUGUGAACGUUACCUAUCCCGUUGCUUCGGCAGGCGGCCUGGGCCCCGCGCCCGGCGCCCCCCGGCCCCCCGUGGGCGCCCGCCGGAGGUAAACCAAACCCUUGAAUUGCAUGGCCUCUCUGAGUCUUCUGUACUGAAUAAGUCAAAACUUUCAACAACGGAUCUCUUGGUUCUG
rnacentral:misc_RNA from 1 species